GUUGGUGGCUAUAGCGUUGGGGUUCUACCUCUUCCCUUUCCGAACAGAGUCGUCAAGCCCAACUGCGCCGAUGGUACUGCGUCCCUGAACGUGGGAGAGUAGGUCGCUGCCAACU
rnacentral:rRNA from 1 species